rnacentral:lncRNA from 1 species
GAGGCCUCAGAGCAGCUGUUCAGGUUCACCGUUGGGGCUUUGUGCUCUGUUAACUGCGAGCGUUUGUUAGUAGGCAUGUAGGCCAUGAGUGAAUGGAUUUACUGGAUUAUUUAUUUACUUGUUUAUUUAUAGACAGGGGCUCUCAAUGUAGUCCAGGCUGGCCAGGAACUUACUAUGUAGACCAGGCUGACCUCGAAUUCAGAUAUCUAUCCAGUUGCUUCUGCCCUCAGGGUUUAAAGGCACAUGCGUGGGUGUUUUUAGACGAGCAGAUGAUAUUCAACAAGACGAAGAACAUGGCUGCUUCCCUCUGUCCCCAGAGGACUGGCAGGGUUGUCCUGAUGUAUGUGGGCACUCAGGAGGAUGUCGGGCUAGGGUCAACGUUAAGGGAGAUACUCAUCACAGAGCCUAUGCCAGGCAGACUCAGUUACCUGAUGUACGGAGCAUGCUUUGCACCCGAUUUCCUAGAUGACAAAGCACAGAGGCACAGAUUAAGACAAUGUCACUGAUCAAGAUGUGAGCUCUCAGCUUUUCCAGCCACCACAUCUUUGCUCUGCAAUCAGGAACUCUCUGGAACUGGAGGCCCCAAACCACAUGCUUUCUCUUUUAUAAGUUGUCUCAGCCAUGGGGUUUUAUCACAGCAAUAGAACAGAAGCUAAGACAGAGCCCAUGGCCUUUUACGUGCUAGGGAAGUGCUCUCCCAUUGGCCACACAGCCCCAGGCCAGUGACAUCAUUCUUCAUGCGUUUUCUUGAGACAAAUGUUGACUGAAUCAUCAACUAAGGGAACUUUUUCUGUGGUAAGCCAGGCCUUCUGGCACAGUGAUAACUAUUUGAUAAAUACAUCAUAUCUUGUCAUAACUAGAUUGCAAAUGGAGUCCACAGCACAUCGGUGUCAAAUGAGGAAAAUCUUGCAAAUAUUAACUCCUAUAAUCAGUUUUCAAGAUUCAUUAGAGUGGUCUAAGCCAAUCAUCCCAGGACAGGCUCCAUACCAGCCUUUAGAGUAAGACUCUGGGUAAACAAAAAGCUUCACAAGAAGUUCAGAUGGCUGUGUGUGGUGUAAUCUCAGCACUCAGAAGACUGUUGCAAGUUCAAGGCCAGCCUAGUCUACACAGCAAGACCUGUCUUGAUGGGGGUUAGAGGUUAAGGGAAAGAGAGAUGGAACAGAAGACAAAACCAGUCUUCUUCAUUACCUAUUUUUGCAUAAUUUAUUAUUAAAUUUUGUUAUUGUUAAUAAAGGAUGAUAAAAUGGAGACUUUAGUAAGGUUGAAUUAGUAUGUAUGUGUAUAUGUAUAAAUAUAUAUUUACUUUUAAAAAACAUCAUUUGCUAUAUAUAAAGUUACUUAUAAGUACACUUCUAUAAAUAUGUCAUAAUA